rnacentral:misc_RNA from 1 species
UUAUCCAUUAAGCAGGGAAAUCUUUCAUAUACCAAUUCGAUUCAAGCUUUUGAAGUAGUUCUAGAUGAUUUCAAUGCAUCCAAUUAAAGAAGCCAAUUUGAACUAUAUGUUCCAGGCUAUAUGACUACAUAAGCCACAUAACGAUCCCAAAGCUUGGAUUAAUAGUCAUUCAAUUCCACAAUCACAUUACUUCAACAUCAAUAACACUAUUUUACAAUUGUAGUAUUAAACUUGAAAAAUAAAAAAGUCAAUGUUCAAUAAGGCAGGUGGAAAGUUCCACUAACCUUGUAAUUGUUGAAGCAUGAGAUACUAUUGCUUCAUACUCUAAAUUUCAGCAACUUCCGAGAAUCUAAUUUAUGUAUUUUAACAUUUUGUUUGAAUUCAAAAUCCUGAAAUCUAGCUGCAAAGGUAGGUAUGAGUUGUCUAAAGUAGUAAGACUAAUUUACUACGAAAGGUGAUCCACUCCUUUCUCAAUUGUUUAAGUAACAAACAUGUGAUAUUUUGCUCUAUAAAUAGCCUAGUACUAUCGAAAGCAAAGAAUAGAAGAGAAGAUAUUAAUAUAUGCUCCUGCAGUAAUCUCUCUCAAAUUUCUUAGUUUUUCUUCCUUUAAAUCCAACAAAUGAUAUCAGAGAUUUACUGAUCUUAGGGGACCAGAUAACAGUUUGAUCUUGCUGUUAAAGCAUCACAACAAUGUUUUACUUUCAACACGUCCAAUGUUUAAAGAAGAGUUGGGUACACAACUAGCAAAGCCUACAUGAGG